UUUAACUGUUCCAUCUAUUGAAUGGUCAACUUUAAAAUCACUAUUAUUGAAAAUGAUAUUCCUUUGAUUUUGAAGUGGUGUCACACCUUUCACGAGUGUGUUGAAUGCAGACAAUUCCAUAACAUCAACACUGUUGAUCAAAGUGCUACUCACUGGAUGUUGAAAUGAUUAGCACUUCGAUCAGCACCAAUAAUGUCUCCACUAGAAUUGAAAGUGCUAUGCUAUUGAAUUCACAGGUUCAAGGCUAUUGAUUUAAGAGUGGAGCGAUAUUGGUGUUGUUCUAAAAAUAGAUGACAGUUCUUUCAUCUGUUCUGCUUAUUUCAAGAGGUAUUUCGAAGUGUGAGAUGGAGUCAUGGUAAGACGGAGGACUUUCAAGCAAAGGUAUGUUAUUCAAAUCUGAGCUGAGGUAAUUCUAUUUUUUUAUUUUGUUGUUUUAAAUUCAAAACAUUGUGCACGUCAAAUGGAAGUGGUGGUCUUUGAAUGCGACAAGCUCAGCUAUUGUUAUUGAUUUGAUUCCAAAGUAGUGCAUAUUCAAAUGCAGAACAGUUCGCAUGGACGUGUAUAUUUUUUACCGUGUUUGACAGUGAGAACACUCAGAACAAAAUUUAAAAAGAAAUUAAACUUUACUUCGGUAUUUCAUAUUUCUGACAACACUGUCAACAAAAAAUAAUGUAACUGGCAGCCUGUAACGAUCUGUCAUGUCUUGAAAUAAAAGGAACAACGUUUUUGUUAAACAAAAAUUGCGGAAUCUGUUUAAUUAUUAUAAAUAGUUUCAAUGCAUUCACAAACUAAAUCCAGAUGGAAAGAAGAGCCUCGGGAAGAGCACCCUCCGGCACAGAAUCCAAACUUUGCACUCCAUGGCAUCUAAGGAAUAUUAUUAUAUUAUUAUUUUUAUUAUCGACAUUUUGCACAUUGUAGAUGCAUUCGUGUCUUAUAAUAACGAAAAAAUUACAAUUGAGUAUA